UACAGAGGUCUCAAGCGUUGUUCGGAUUCAUUGGGCGUAAAGGGUGCGUAGGCGGCGGAGCAAGUCAGGUGUGAAAUCCCGGGGCUCAACCCUGGAACUGCACUUGAUACUGCUUUGCUAGAGUACUGGAGAGGAGACUGGAAUUCCUGGUGUAGCAGUGAAAUGCGUAGAUAUCAGGAGGAACACCGAUGGCGAAGGCAGGUCUCUGGGCUGACACUGACGCUCAUGCCCGAAAGCGUGGGGAGCAAACAGG
rnacentral:rRNA from 1 species